rnacentral:rRNA from 1 species
AACGAACGCUGGCGGCAUGCCUAACACAUGCAAGUCGAACGAGACCUUCGGGUCUAGUGGCGCACGGGUGCGUAACGCGUGGGAACCUGCCCUUAGGUUCGGAAUAACUCCCCGAAAGGGGUGCUAAUACCGGAUAAUGUCUUCGGACCAAAGAUUUUUCGCCUUUGGAUGGGCCCGCGUUGGAUUAGCUAGUUGGUAGGGUAAAAGCCUACCAAGGCGACGAUCCAUAGCUGGUCUGAGAGGAUGAUCAGCCACACUGGAACUGAGACACGGCCCAGACUAAUACGAGAGGCAGGAGGGGGGGAUAGUGGACAAGGGGAGAGGGCAGGAUCAAGCAAUGACGAGUGAGAAAGGAAAGCGUAAGGGGAGGAAAGCUAGUGUACAAGGGAUGAUAAUGACAGGAAAGAGAGAAUAAGAUGAGGCAAACGCAGUG